rnacentral:tRNA from 1 species
GUAGAGCAGUUGGCAGCUCGUCGGGCUCAUAACCCGGAGGUCGUAGGUUCGAGUCCUACC